rnacentral:lncRNA from 12 species
CUCCUAACUCUUUUUAUUAUUAUUAUUAUUAUUUUUUAACCAUUUCUUAAUAGUAAGUAGAUCCUGGAGCAGGAAGGGUGGGGACAGUGUGAGAAUAAAAGGAGCAGAUUGAAAAAGCUGUCUGUGCAUUUAUCCCACAGAGAUCCCUCUCCAUUUGGGGCUUGAGAAGCUGAUCUACAAAUCCCUUCAUAUGCAAAAGAUGGACAAACGCUCCAAAAGAAGGUCUGAAUGGUAAUGGAGGUAGAACAAAAAUGGAAAUUUCUGGAUCUGUCAUCCAAAUAAAUAUUAGAAGCAAAAUGGCCAUUAUUAAACAGCCGAAAAAACUUCCCCCAAACAGGAUUGACAACAGCAAGCAUUCUGAAAGGGUCCUGAAUAAGAACGUGGCCGGCUUACUAAGGAUGAAGCAGUGUGCUCCCUCUGCCCUUACCUGAUUUCACACCACCAAUGAAUGAAUAUUCAUUUCUUCAUUUGUAGACAGACUCAAGCUCUGAAGAACCUCCCUGCCCAGCCCCCUGGACAAUAAGGACUCCAGACUCACAGCACUGUACCUGGCUCCCCAGCCACUGUGACCACUGCUAGUUUUAUGCAAAGACAGAGGCGCAAAGCCAACUGACAAUAAAAUGCUUGCUGUGAAAGAAUUCUGUGUAAAG